GUGUCAGCCGCCGCGGUAAUACAGAGGUCUCAAGCGUUGUUCGGAUUCAUUGGGCGUAAAGGGUGCGUAGGUGGCAAGGUAAGUCGGGUGUGAAAUCCCGGGGCUCAACCCUGGAACUGCACUCGAUACUGCCAUGCUCGAGUACUGGAGAGGAGACUGGAAUUUACGGUGUAGCAGUGAAAUGCGUAGAUAUCGUAAGGAAGACCAGUGGCGAAGGCGAGUCUCUGGACAGUUACUGACACUGAGGCACGAAGGCCAGGGGAGCAAACGGGAUUAGAAACCCCUGUAGUCC
rnacentral:rRNA from 1 species